rnacentral:tRNA from 1 species
AGUCAAUAAGUUUUAGAUAAACAAAUACUUUGAAAGUAUAAAAAGGGAGUUUAAUUCUUCCAUUGACUU